CAUAUAGCGAGAGCGAGAAUACAGAAUACAUGGUGUCAGGGUGGGUAUAAUAUCCCCCAUAAUAUCUGGCAGGGCUGUACCACUAUAUAGAGAAUAUACAGAAUAUAUGGUGCCAGGGUGGGUAUAAUAUCCCCAUAAUAUCUGUUAGGGUUAUACCACUAUAUAUAUAGAGAGAGAGAGAGAGAAAAUACAUGGUGCUAGUGUUGUUAUAAUUGCUCCCACAAUGCAUGGCAACAAAGCUGUAGCACAAUACAAAGUGUAUACAUUGUGCCUGGUGGGUAUAAAUGCCCCCAUAAUGCAUGGCAGGGUUGUACCACUAUCCCCUGCUGGGUGGGUAGAAGUACUCACAUAGUGCUUGGAUGGGUUCCUCCUCUUCUGCACACCCUCCACACUCACAUCCAGCACCCAGAAGGACAGCAUCUUUCCCUUCGGAUACACGGCCAUACAGACUGACAGACAGCGGGCUGAAGUUCAGUGACUGGAGAUGUUGAGCUCUUCGAAUAUACAGAAAAGAAAACUACAAGAUAACCAAGCUCCCCUACAGAGAAAUCCAAUCAGAGUCAGACUUCAACCCAGGGGGGAUCAUUUCAAUGUCUCGGUGGGGAACCCUAUCUCAAUAUAUGAUCUUGCAGUUAUUUGGGAUCAGUGGGAUUGGCUUCCAGUAAAUCAUUUUAUUCUGGAACUUGCCUGACUAUAACAUAAAACAAGACCAAGAGCCAAGACAGAGAGAUAAAGGUUUUUGACGUCUUAUCCAGAAUGCUUAAGCCCUGAGGUUU